GGAGCUUGAAGUGGAGAGUUUACAAGCAAGCCAUGAUCAAGUCCAGUCUGAUCUCAAACUAGCCUUCAAGAGGAUAGCUGAUCUUCAGAGGGCUGUUGAGGAUGGGAUAGGCAGUGACAGUGAUAGCUGCACACCUGGUAGCAAUAGCGAUGACAGUGACAGCUCUGGAGAUGAGUACCUUCCUAGAUAUUCUCACUAUUCCUCCAACCGUAGCAGUCGAUUGAGUAGCCUGAGCAGUGUAGACUCAUCCCAGUACACCACCAGAAGAACCAGGGUGUAUUCAUCCACGUCGGAGAAAUCAGAUGAUGUCAGGCGUAGAUCACGGAAUCCUGCUGAGUAGCUGGGUCUGGGAAGUAUGUCAUCAACCCCGGCAGUUCGGAUGAAGACGAGGAUGUCGAUGAGCUAGGAGCACGCAGCACAUCACGGCCCAGUAGCAUGUACAGUGAGGACACCGUAGGAAGCGUUGAGCUGGGCGAAACCAACGUCAGCUUGACGAGUUCGUCUACGAUAGGCGGGGAAAGCGGCGACGGGACAAAGAAAAAAGGAUUUAUGAUAAAUCCAGAUUAUAUGUGAUAUUAAAUAGCAGUUCUAGUUAGGGAUUUAGCAGAGUAGACUUGUAUAAACUAUAUUUUUCUGUGUGUAAAUGUUUAGUGGUAGCUAUAGUACUGUUAUAAGGAAACCACGUUUUGUCUUUGCAUGAAUGCAUUGCAAAUAAUCAAUGGGUACUCGAUGAGUAAAGGCGACCGCACACCUUACGGUUGGUCUGCGACUCAAUUUUGGAAUAAAACGUAGUAAAAUUUGAUGCUUAACAUUGAGACUUGGAAUAUCUUACUGUGCUGUUCGAAAUCAUCGUACGAAUACAUAUGUUCAAGUCUGUGACUAUGCUAUCAUCCUUCUUAGAAUAAAAGCAAAUUUGAUAUCUAGUCGUUAUGACGUCAUGGCAGUCGUACGAUUGGCUACGAUUUGAAACUAAUUUGGCCUUUACUCCAAAAUAAAGGCUUGCAACCUUUCAAAAUUGUUAUAUUAGUAUUCUUUCAAUUAAUUUUACCCUCAAAUAAAAUGAAAUGUUCCAUUCACAUUUUCAGAAAAUGAGCAAAAUUCGAUUUGUUACAAAAUCGGAUCGCGAACAGUCGUAAGGUGUGCGGUGGCCUUAACUCUUCAUAAUUGGGGACUGCAUGAAGCUUUGAAUUCAUGUUAUUCUGUCAGAGAAAAUCAACCACAAAAGAAAUAUUCUUUAAAAACAUUAUUGGAAGUCUCAUGUUCACAUCAAAUUGUGUGUGUAUGUAUAUAUAUAUGUAGGUUUGUAUCUCACAAAUGAAGGCUAUGUUUAAGUCAUUCAGCACUUUUAUUGUACCUUACAGUACCAUUAUAAAUAGCAUAGGUCAUGAUGUAGGAAUCUGUAAGGAAACUACAAGAUUAGAAAGAUGGCUCAUGCAGAGUUUACAAACAUUACGAAAAAUGUACAAUUGCUACGAAUGUCAAAAUACUUCAUAAGAUUACAAAUGCAUCCUCAAUAACUUUGUAUUUGAACGCAAAUAGGCAUGCACACAUUUAGCAUGCAAAAUAUAUAUGUAUGUACUUGCUAUAUUUGUAGUCAUUUUCCAUUCUUCUUUGGGAAAAAAUGGACACCUUUGAAUAUGUCAAAAUUCCCUAUUUCAUUGCAAAUGUUCUGCAGGGUGCAAUGUUAAAUUGCCUUUUCCAGGAAUUUCAUAGUACCGCAUAAGGAACUACUACUUAUAUCUCAAAUUUAUGAAUUAUUGAGCUUCUGGAUUACUGAUUUGCACUUGUAAAGUAAAAGGAUGGCAGCACUGGACAUGCAGGAAACAGAUGUCCCUUGACUCAAUUAAACAUCAAUAUAUAUUGGUCUGCAGGGAGAGAGAGAGAGGAUGUAGGGCAAGAUGGUUAAAGAUAGAAUAAUGUAGUUUCAGCAAACCAUUAUUUCAUGAGAAAGUCUUUAAAAUCAAGGUUUAAUUGUCACCCUAUUAUCAAAGGCCUAGAUCUGGUACAUUAAUAUAUUUGUGAAACCGUGAAAUCUCAGCUGAAAACUGACAUUACUCAUGAUCACUAACACAGAAAAGGAUGUGUGGGACAGUGUAUUAAUAUUGCUUUGAAAAAAUACCUGACAUUUGAUAGAAUUUUGUGUUUAUUCUCACUUCUCAAGCAUUUACAAUUUUUCUCCAGAGCCAUUUGGCACAUACUAAAACUUUGGUGGUCAUUUUAUUGGAAAUUGUUCAAACUCAUUUUGAGAUCGUUACCACAACUGGCAUUUCUCUUUAAGGGGAUUGAAAGAAACUGGGAUGGUAUGACAGUAAAGAGGGAAAGAGGUGUGGGAUGGGGAGGGGAUAUAGUAUAUUUAGCAACAGAGAGAUAUAGAAAGAAGAAAAUGAAUGUUAAACUAGAUUUAGGCCACAGUUCCCUAUACAGGUGUAUUUGGGAAUUGAUAUCAUAUUGUGCAAUGGAAUGGUCAGUGAAUGAGGAGAAGAAAAGAAUGGAUGCAAGGUGCAUGAUUAUGAGUGGUAAUAUGAUAGAUGCUGGAGAUCUUGAAAUGGAUCUGACCAAGAUUUUAAGAGUAGGAAUAUAGGUUCAGGAUGGCCGAGAUAACUUGGGAUGGUCACAAUCUCAGCUUACCAUUCAGUUUAGCAGUUCAAUUUAAAUUUGUUGAAUUUCUUGUCUGGAAAUGAUUUUAAAAAUAGGAAGCAGCAGGGAGUGGUAACCUCCUUGUUGACGUUUCCAAAAUAAAACAUUUCCAAGAGAUAAGAUAUUGACGAUAUCUGUUGUCAAGCCUGAUCACACUCAUAAGAUAAUCGCUACAAAAUGCAUUUAAUAGGGUCACUGAUUUGUUCGGGUUUUUUUUUGGAGGGGGGUGAACAAAUUCAGAUUUUCGAUAUCACUGAUUCGUACAUCGAUAACCUCCUUUGGAUUGUGUGUAAAUGAGAACAGUGAUUUAUCAGUAAAUUCUUCUUCAAAGAUGAGAAGCAAAGUUGCCAUCUCUGAUGAGGAAACACAGCCAAAAAGAUGGCUCAUUUAAAAUAACAAGUUUUUUCUGCAUUCUGUUCUCCCACUUUCCCACACAUUACGGACUACUCCUGCUUUAAGGUGCAAAAAAUUAUCACCCAAAAAAUAAGAAGUGUUGUGAAGUAGAAGUAUGCGGCAUCUGUUUGCCUCGCAACGAAUUUGAUUAUAAAUGUGAUGAUGAUGAGCAAUGCAGUUUGUUCCAUAAAUUGGAUACCAUGUUACAGGCAGCAGGAAUAGCCGUCAAGGGAAAUAAUUUUUUCCCCCUUCUACCUCUUUAACGUAAGAUAAGUGAAUGAUUAGCAUGUAACCUGAAGUGACGUUUUGCCGUAGCAUGCAGUCCCCCAGUGCACAGCUGUGUGUUUUAUUUUCUGUUAUUCCAGCUUUUUGCCUUAAAAUUCUUUCACCGCUCGUUUGAAACACUGCAUAAUUGUACAUGGGAUAUGUAAUCUCAUUGAUCACACAUGCAAUAUGGAGAUUAGAUAUGAUUACCCAAUUUGGGAGAUGUGAUCUUUUUUUAGUAAAUUGAAUUAUUCUUUAAUUUAAAGGGAAUCAAAUAUAUUCACCAUGGCAUUUGCUGAAGUCACUAACUUAAAGUAAUUUCAAAUAUCUCCUAAGAAAUUCAAUUGAUAUGUAUCAUUGUGUACCACAUAUACAUUUUCAUAACCUCUUUUAUUUUGUGUUUGUGUGUCAUCACAAGUAUUGUCAUAGAUAUGUUCACCAAACACUACUGGAGAUGAAAUACACGUAUUACCAAAAAUGCAAUGGUAUACUGAUAUGUUCCUUAAUAUAGUGGUAUUGUCUAUGUUUACAUGUGAUGUAAAAAAAAAUAAUUGAAAUUAAAUAAUGUGUAAAUAAUUUAUGUGGAAAAUAUGUAAAUGAAAUACAGAAAGAAUGUGUAUAUAUCUUUGUCUUUAUCUUUGUAGAUUAUAGUUGUACUAAUUUGGAAUAUUGAAAUGGAAUUUUAAGCUGUUUUGAAUGUUGUCAUGUGUAUCAUUCUUGUUCAAUGUAGUUUGUUUCUUACAGUGCCUUGGCUAUCAAAGCAUGCAGGAUUUUCAUCACUUCUGCUUAUCUUAUUUCAUCUAUGUUAUUUAAUCUUAAAUUGUAAGUUAUAAUGCAUUUAUUUUGCAGACUUGUGAAACAGUAUUUUCAUCUUCAAAUAUACAGAAUCAGUCUAUCUUUAGAAUAUUUCGAUUUUUUUUAUACUGAGGGAAGCUUUAUUGGACAAUAUGUUUGCAGAUUACGACAAACAUGCUGUCAAAAUGUCAAUUUUCUUAUUUUAGUUUGAGAUGUAGAUGAAAAUAUGCUGAGUGUAAACUUCAUAACCAUAGUAGUGUAAACAGAUGAUUAGUACAUCAUUCUGUUAUGCAUAAUUAUCUGCAAAUUGGAAGUUUAAUAUAAAAAGAAAUGGACAGCACUGCAGCUACAUAUACAGUGGUGCUCAAAAGUUAGUGAACCCCACCAGAAAAUGAACAUACUGUAGUUUAAAUGUUCUAGUUCUGCCCUGUUUUAGAUAUUUCCAUGUUAUUGUGAGGUCUGGUGAUAAGAUUUCCAUUCAAUAAAGUUUGUUUCUCUGGCUUGCCGAACCUUGUAGUGUUGGUGUCUAUACUCAACACUCAGCAUGAAGGAGUGCAUUGUGUGGUGGGGCUCACUAACUUUUGAGCACAACUCUACAUGCUGAAAGAUAUACUAGUACAUAAUUGUAUGUGUAAGGAAUCAGAGGCUUAUAAGUGGCUUGGUGUUUUCACUUUAAAUGUAGCUAAAAAUCUUAUAUUAAGACAGAGCCAAUUGAUUAUGAACAGUAAUAGAUCUUGUUUCAUACUCUUGUUUUUAGUUUUAUCCUUUCAAAUUUUCAUUUAGGUGAUUAAUAUACCUCAUACUUUUACCCAGCGUACAUUGUGAAUUCCAUUUUUACUGCAUGAUGACUUGAUCAUCUACUCUGAUGUGCUUUACUUUGUCAAAUUUGUGAGUAAUGCUUUCGCAUCUUCAAAUUUAUUAGUUUUAUCAUAUGUUUUUUGGGGGUAAAUGAAAUGUUGCGCCUCUAUCCAGUAUCAGCUUAUUUGAUGCUUUUGGGUUUGAGAUUUAUGAACUUUUUAUCGUAUCAAUAUCUUUGUUUCUUUUGUUUUAUUUUGUUGUGAUAUGUAACAUUUGGUGCUCAUUUUGUUUGCAUUAUAUUAUAUUUUAGAAGUUUUAAUGGACAUUCUUUGAUAUCUCUUUUUUAUUUUUUUUUGGGGGAGUUCUCUUUAUGUCCUUUUUCAGGGCACAUUUAUUGUCGUUCCAAAAACAUCAAUAAUUAACAUAUUUGUUGUGUAUUUUACUGCUUACAUUAUCCGGUGUUGUGCGGUAUUUGCAGGUGAAACCCUUGUGUAAAAUUACCAGAAUUAUGUGGGUCUAUGCCAGGUUUAAAAAAAAAGAUAAAAUCAUUAUGUCUUCUUUUUUUAAAAUUUAAUUUGGACACAAUUUUGCCUGCAAGUUUUCAGAAAAUCUCACUCGUUUUUCUGUAGUAAGGUGUGGGGUGUUCAUGUUUUAUAUUUUUAAUGUCAACAAUUUUAAUAUAUGCACAUUGUAUUCUUACAUGGAAAUUCUCCAUAAUGGCAUAAUCGUUCAAUAUUAUAUUAAUGGUGUGAACAUGAGAAAGCAUGGAGCCAUGGAGUAUUGAAUUUGAUUGUUAUAAAUCCCAAUUAGUUUCAAACAUAUUGAUAUAUCUCAGUAUUUUUAUGCCAUUUUUAUUUUAGCAAAAAUAUUUGUAAAUCUAAUUGGACUAUUCAAUAGUAUAUCCAAUCCACUGUUGUUUUGAACUAUGGUUUUCUUGAAAAUGAUUUAAAAACAUGAAAAGACAAAAGACAAAAUGUGCAGAUAUCCGACUUGAUACUUCUGUCACCUAUCUUAUUUUCAUUGAAAAAUGCAGUCUCCUUAUUUGUUUUGUCUUUCAUUCUUGUUUGAAGUAUUGAAUGCUAGUGUAUCAUAAGAAACAUAUAUAUUUAUCCACCAAAACAAUAUAUAUAUUCAUAAAUCAGAUUCCAAUCAUCCUGUAUUAUGCAAGUAAAAUUACAAGAUUUUUUGUGGGUUCUGAUGAAAUUUCUUUCUCUUUCUGAUGCAGUUAAUGAAAAAGGCGAUAUAAUUAUUAGUACACAAUACUUUGAUUAUGGUUUGAUAUAGCAUCUUGAAAGGAUAGGAAUAUAUUGCAUUAUAAACUUGUUUCAUUGAAGUUAGAAAGUCUUAAUGUGUUCAAGGUGAAAAUUUUUUCCCAGUUGAUUUUUUUGUGCAACAUGAAAAUGACACGUGUUAGGCCUAAUCACUAAUUCUAAGAAGUAUAUUUUGUCGCCUUGCUGGCAAAAGGCAGUAAUUCACGCAUGCGUAAUGAUUUUCAAUUCCUGCGUUGUUUUCAUAUGUGGGUUUGGUCAAAUGUGUGCAACUCAAAAUGCUCUUUGCAUGAAAAUUAAAACUGUUUUGCUUGACCAACACAAAUGGGGAUCGACAUAACAUCAAAUCCUAUAAACCAUUUUUCAGUCACUAUAUGUUGAUUCAACAUUUACAAAAGCCUCUUCUUUUAUGUGCACUAUACACUCUAUUGUCCUGUGUAUGAAUAAUGUGAUAAAUGUAUCUCUUUGUGAACUAACAAAAUUGACCCUAUUAAGUGAUGAGAAAUAUCUAUAUAUUAUCAAGGGCUGCAUAAGUAUUAAACGCAGAGGGUAAUUUAAUUUGUAGGAACAUAUUCAGAUAUGGAGAAAAUGUACAUCUGAAUGUCUUCCAUAUAGAAAGAUUUUAUGUUCAAGAUGAUUUAUGGCAGAAAUAACUUCCAGUAUGAUGGCAGAGUUAAAGGCAUUGUAUACCUAAACGAAUCUGACAAAAUGUAUUCUAACAAUAUUGCAUUUUUUGCUUAUAAUGAUAACAUUAAAGAUAUAAUAAUAUUGUA